GAUGAACGCUGGCGGCGUGCCUAAUACAUGCAAGUCGAGCGAACGGACGAGAAGCUUGCUUCUCUGAUGUUAGCGGCGGACGGGUGAGUAACACGUGGAUAACCUACCUAUAAGACUGGGAUAACUUCGGGAAACCGUAGCUAAUACCGGAUAAUAUUUUGAACCGCAUGGUUCAAAAGUGAAAGACGGUCUUGCUGUCACUUAUAGAUGGAUCCGCGCUGCAUUAGCUAGUUGGUAAGGUAACGGCUUACCAAGGCAACGAUGCAUAGCCGACCUGAGAGGGUGUUCGGCCACACUGGAACUGAUACACGGUCCAGACUCCUACGGGAGGCAGCAGUAGGGAAUCUUCCGCAAUGGGCGAAAGCCUGACGGAGCAACGCCGCGUGAGUGAUGAAGGUCUUCGGAUCGUAAAACUCUGUUAUUAGGGAAGAACAUAUGUGUAAGUAACUGUGCACAUCUUGACGGUACCUAAUCAGAAAGCCACGGCUAACUACGUG
rnacentral:rRNA from 1 species